AGGAAUUCAGUGCCUCGCUCCUUGCUCAAGCAGGGCGGUGGGCUGCUGCGACAGGAGGGUGGGCUCACACACCACGGGGCAGCCUGCAGAGAGGAGCGAGGCACGGCUGCCUGCAAGCCGCUCGCUUGGGAGUGGUGCGGAUCUCACCAGUGUCUCUCUGGGUUUUCUUUGCAAAUCCCCCGCAGGCAGAGUUUGCUCAACUAGUUGAACUGGCUCUUUCUCUCUUGUUUUUUUGGCAAACCAAGGAUUUCCUUCCUGAUAAAAACAGCCGGCCAGCGCCCCGAUUGGGUGCAGGGUUGUGGAGGAUAUGACAUCAGGCACAUCUCUCGCUUCAUGCAGUGUGGUCUGCCUGAUUGCUGGCUGCCUACCAGUGGAGCCGGGGAGGUGUUUCCCUAAACCCCAUCCCAGGUACUUGAGUUUCUGCACAAAGUGGUGCUGCACCGAGUCCCAGCCCGCUGCGAGGUUUGUUGGAGUGGUGCACAAGCAGUCUGCUCGACAGAUCACUCACGUGUGCAGGGGCUCGCCGAGGACGAUGGAAUUUGAACCCUCAAGAGCAACACUGAAGUGAGAAAACAGAAACUGGGCAGACAAGGCUGAGAUGGAUGAUGAGGGAAUGAGUCAAAAUGCCAGUAAAUCACAAGGAGUCGGGGGCCAGGUGUCUGCAACGUCUCCAUCAUUGCUGCUGAUGAGGGACUUUGUUUCAGACUGGUCUCCUUUACACGAUGCCUCUAUCCGUGGGCGCCUGCUUACUCUAAAGAAACUCAUCAGCCAGGGGAGUGAUGUUAAUCUUGUUACAACAGACCAGGUGUCUCCCCUCCAUGAAGCCUGCCUAGGUGGUCAUGCUGCUUGUGCCAGUGUCCUAUUAAAACAUGGUGCUAAGGUGAAUGGAGUGACUGUUGACUGGCACACUCCUUUGUUCAGCGCCUGUGUCAGUGGCAGUGUGGCUUGCUUGAAUUUACUGCUGCAACACGGAGCCAGCCUGCACCCGCCCUGUGACUUAGCAUCCCCCAUCCAUGAAGCUGCUAAGAGAGGUCAUGUGCAAUGUGUUGAGAUCCUCGCGUCCCAUGGGGUGAACAUAGAUUAUAACAUCAAACAUCUGGGUACUCCGCUUUAUGUAGCUUGUGAGAACCAGCAAGUCAACUGUGCCAGGAAGCUGCUUGAGUCAGGAGCAAAUGUGAACAGCGGCCAGGGCCUGGAGUCCCCACUGCAUGCAGCCGCCAGGAGUUGCAGUGAGGAGCUGGUGAUGCUGCUGAUUGACUUUGGAGCAGACAUUUGGGCAAAGAACGCCAAAAGCAAGAGGCCGAUGGAUCUGGUUCCACCUGGAAGCCCUUUGGGUCGUCUGUUCCUGCAGAAAGAAGGGCCGCUGUCCUUGAUGCAUUUAUGCCGCCUGUCCAUCAGGAGGUGCUUUGGACAUAAGCAGCACCAGAAAAUAACUGGUCUUCUCCUCCCAGAUGAGCUGAAACGUUUUCUUCUCCAUGUUUAAGCCUUUCAAGUUUAAAGUGGUGCCUUAAUAACACAGCAAGGUUUGUUGAGGAAAGACUUCCCAUCAGUAGUGUUGCCAAUAUGCAGUGUUAAUUUAUGAUAGCUGUUGGUCUCUAGUAGAGCCCUCAGUCCAGGAAGGAUGGGAACAACCAACUUGCUGAGUCCUCCCAGCCACCACCCCCAGCAAACCAGUAACUUGAAAAGGAGAUAAUGGCUGACAACACCUUACCAAGAAAAUUCAUAUCCCAGCCCAGCAGGAACAGCAUUUUGUGUGCAUUAAACUCUAAGGAUAGCUGCACUUUUUCUGUGUAAGCAGGGCUUACGGAUGUGAGGGCUGCAUCCACACCACUGUAGGAAAGCUGUCCUGCUGCCACAAACCAAAGCGCAGUUACAAUCACUCUGUGCUCUCCUGGAUUCUCCCAUGGGAAUACUGACUAUCCAACAGGCACGAGACUGAGGAUGAUGAAGGUCUAGUUCUUCCGCCACCAGCCUCAUCCUACCUCCAUCUCUGGACCACUGUGCACCUGCAGGGUUAGUGCCACGUUGCACGUGUGCCAGAGGGGCAGGCCAAGCACUUGGGUGAUUUUGGAGAUCCUUUUCUUCUUCACUUAGCUGUGAAGACUCCUGCAAGAGUGAGCUCGGUGUGCACAAACUGCAGUGAAAUCAUCAGCAAUGAGAUACAGACGGUCCUCAUCUCGUGUUAGCGGAGAGAGCAGCAGCCUUCAAAUACACACACAGUUCUGGUGUUUGCUGGUGUGCGUGUGUGUGCAGAGCCAGCCUUCCUUUUGCUUAUGAGAAGUAUGAGAGGAGGGACCAAAGGCUACACCUGGGUACUUGUAUUUGUUGUAAAGAACAGUUCAGAUACUCAGCUGGACAACACAACUACUGGCUGCAGGUGUUCUCCGGUAUAAGCGUUUAAUUGUUGUGCUGACCAAACACAGCAGGAGCAGUUCCUUUGGCUUGUGGGACACUAAAUUGUACCCUAUUGGGACAAAAUGAGAAGUACAGUCAGGUCCUUACAAUUCCUUUUUAUGGGAUAUGGACAUCUAGACAUCUUCACUGAUCUGACCCAAUUCAUCACAUGUUAUCUGAGCCAUAUAAAAAAUCACUGGCUGGUUUAAGAUGGCCAUCUAUACUCUUUCUUUCCUGCUGGGGGAAAAAAAUAGACAUUUGUCUUCAUAUGCUGAUUGAAAGGUGUCUUGUAUGGGUAGAUCCUUUUAAAAUCACUAUCUUGCAUAAGCUGAAUCUCCGUUGAACAGGCAGGGAACAGACAGCUAACCCAGUGCUUAACUUUUUGAAGAUGAAAGUGAAGUAUGAAGAAUCCCUGUUUUGGUCACACACCUGAAAGUUGAAAAUACAGCUUAUUUUAUUUUAGAUGAAGAUUUUCUUUUUUUACCUGCUAUUUUCAUUAUUUACCUUUAAGGAUCUUAUUUUGUAGCAUCACUCAAUGGGUUUACCAGAGUAGUACAAGGAGAAUAUUGCUCAGAGAAGGUGGUGAGAUCAUUGUUUCUAGAUUGCUUUUCAUUUGGAAAUUUCAAAGCUUGACUCUGCUUACUUGAAUCCCUCAGAUCAUGUAAAAUUAGGAUGAAUUCUCUAUGCUUCAUUUGUAUCAUCUCGAUAUAUUUGCUUAUUUAUUUUAAUAAAAAUUGUGAUCAACACUGGUAAAGUAUAUCUUUAUGCAUCAACGCAUGUCCAUUUAUAAACUGCAAAAGUUGUACAAGAUGCAAACCAAAUAAGCUAAAUAUAGGUGAGAUUUAGACAUUUUUCUCUAUUUGAAACCAAAUGUAAUUACAGGAUUUGAAAGAUUGUUAUGAAUAUAUUUUAUCAGAUUCUUUGCUGUUAUUUUGCUGGCAGUUUAGUGAAUAUCAAUGCACAGUUGUAUAGGAUAUCAGCUCAAAAAUAAAUGGUUUAUGAUCUGUU